CCUACGGGUGGCUGCAGUGAGGAAUAUUGGUCAAUGGACGAGAGUCUGAACCAGCCAAGUAGCGUGAAGGAUGACUGCCCUAUGGGUUGUAAACUUCUUUUAUAUGGGAAUAAAAUGUUCUACGUGUGGGAUUUUGUAUGUACCUUAUGAAUAAGGAUCGGCUAACUCCGUGCCAGCAGCCGCGGUAAUACGGUGGAUCCGAGCGUUAUCCGGUUUUGUUGGGUUUAAAGGGUGCGUAGGGGGGUUUUUAAGUUAGUUGGGAAAGUGUGGGGCUCAAACGUUAAAUUGCAGUUAAUACUGGAAGUAUUGAGUACAGUAGAGGUAGGCGGAAUAAGUGAAGUAGCGGUGAAAUGCUUAGAGAUAACGUAGAACUCCGAUUGCGAAGGCAGCUCACUGGACUGCAACUGACGCUGAGGCACGAGAGUGUGGGUAGCGAACAGGAUUAGAUACCCGAGUAGUC
rnacentral:rRNA from 1 species